UGCAGCUGAGUCAAAUUCAGUGCCUGUCCUAAUGACGGCGAGCAGUGGCCCAGAAGGCUGCCAAAGGAACUGAUUCCUGAGCCCUGUUCCCCAUGCUAGGUUCAGGGGUAAAUUUAGUCAUAGACAUCA